rnacentral:sRNA from 1 species
UGGAUGAUCAAGCAGCGAGAACACAUUCAAAAAAAAUUUAGUCUAGCAUUGGUGCUUUGGUAGCGGAUGUGCUCGAAAUUACGUUCAAACCAAACAAACAAAAGUUGUUUAGAAGUCGUCGAAAAUGAGUAACAAUCCAGAGGCAACCACAACGACCGUGGAAGGAGCACAAAAGUUGACCGAUGAGGAGAAGUAUCGGUUAAUGGAUAACAAUUUUUCUACUCCUCUGACCGGUACCUUCCUCAAUUUGCCCAAUGAACCCGCCCAAAUCGUUUGUCCCAGCUGUGGAAAAAAGGACGAGAGCACUGUUCAUGUAGAGGACCAACAGUGGGCAGCAAAAAUUAAUAGUUUUACAGAGGCAUUAUUCUUCUGCCUUUGCUGCUGCUGGUGCGUGGACUGGAAGAAACCUCUGAACAAAACGGAUACGAAUCAUUAUUGUCAGCAUUGUACCUGUUACCUGGGCAGAGCAAACCGUAUUUCACCUGUGAGCCACCACAAUGGCAAAUCUCUUACAAAUCAAUACAACCAGUGAGAAGAGGGAUGCAGAUAAUUGUCCGCUGGAACCUUCUUGCUAAACAUAAAGACAGAAGCUUUUAUUAAAUAAAAUUUUAUGAAACGCCAUAAUUGUAUGCAUAUAUAAA